AUUCUGCCCAAGCGGAGAAGGAUGAGAAGCUUCGACUAAGGUUCGACUCGAGCGCCAGCGAGAGAGCGUUGCCGCAGGCAACGACCUGAAGGGCGAAGCGCGCAGCGCUGAGUAAUCCUUCCCUCACCACCA
rnacentral:sRNA from 1 species